CUUUCCCUCUUUCUUUAGGCCUAACACAUGCAAGUCGAACGGCAGCACAGUAAGAGCUUGCUCUUACGGGUGGCGAGUGGCGGACGGGUGAGGAAUACAUCGGAAUCUACUUUUUCGUGGGGGAUAACGUAGGGAAACUUACGCUAAUACCGCAUCCGACCUACGGGUGAAAGCAGGGGAUCUUCGGACCUUGCGCGAUUGAUUGAGCCGAUGUCGGAUUAGCUAGUUGGCGGGGUAAAGGCCCACCAAGGCGACGAUCCGUAGCUGGUCUGAGAGGAUGAUCAGCCACACUGGAACUGAGACACGGUCCAGACUCCUACGGGAGGCAGCAGUGGGGAAUAUUGGACAAUGGGCGCAAGCCUGAUCCAGCCAUACCGCGUGGGUGAAGAAGGCCUUCGGGUUGUAAAGCCCUUUUGUUGGGAAAGAAAAGCAGCAGGUUAAUACCCCGCUGUUCUGACGGUACCCAAAGAAUAAGCACCGGCUAACUUCGUG
rnacentral:rRNA from 1 species